UACGAAGGGGGCUAGCGUUGUUCGGAAUCACUGGGCGUAAAGCGCACGUAGGCGGAUCUUUAAGUCAGAGGUGAAAUCCCAAGGCUCAACCUUGGAACUGCCUUUGAUACUGGGGAUCUUGAGUCCGGGAGAGGUGAGUGGAACUGCGAGUGUAGAGGUGAAAUUCGUAGAUAUUCGCAAGAACACCAGUGGCGAAGGCGACUGACUGGACAAGUAUUGACGCUGAGGUGCGAAAGCGUGGGGAGCAAACAGG
rnacentral:rRNA from 1 species